CCGUGUAAGCUAUUCCAUGCGAUGUCUUUCACAAAGGUACAGGGAUUUUUUAAUCGAUAGAGCUGGUUCAUCUUUUCUUCCCUCGUAGUAACUCGGUCUCUCUAAUACAUCAAUAUGGUAGAUAGAUCAGGUAGAAGAUCAGCCGCUAAUCCGCUACUCUCGGUUCGAUCGGCUUCAAAGCUUUUUCACUUUUUUCGCUUAGCGCUUCCACCGAUGCCUGAAUGCUACUUUCGUCUACGUAUGGGUUAUCUAUAUAUAUAUUAAUAUAUAAUAGAAUAGAUAGACCUAAUUCUAAGAUAAGAGAAAAUCUCUUCCCUGAAGAUAGGAACGAGGCUAUUCGACUACCAAGAUUUUGGGUUGAACCAAUAGCAGGAGUUGACCCCUAAGCUAUGGGAGUUUCAAGAGCCUUUGGUUAACGUAGUUACAAAUAGCGAAUAUCCGCCUCUUCCCUGCUCCCGCAUAUGUUUAAGAUGCCAGUCGACCAGGAGAACCAUACCGGAAGGUGUCUUCGGUAGGCUGAGAAAACGCUUGGAACGAAGAAACUUAAUAGACUCCUCACAAGAAGUCUGUGAAAGUAAGUCGUUAUUUGGAUCGUAAGCAUAACGAACGAACCAAAUGAGACCACAAUGGAUACCCUUCGACGUCCAUUUCAGUGACAGACAGAUUCAAUGAAACCGUUGCACUUGAAUGUGCGUAAAGAAGAAACCAAUGUAUCUUCGUAAAAGAGACCUUGACGCCUCCGAUCCGGCGACCUGGACGGAAUGGCUUUCCAAGUAAGUUGGGUUCCAGAUAAUGCCUUGACACAAAGAAAGGAAAAUAUAGAACCAAGGUAUCGUACGAUUAGCCUUGCAGAACCUUUUGAGCAAGAAUCUCCGUAAGG